rnacentral:rRNA from 1 species
GACGAACGCUGGCGGCGUGCUUAACACAUGCAAGUCGAACGGAAAGGCCCUGCUUUUGUGGGGUGCUCGAGUGGCGAACGGGUGAGUAACACGUGAGUAACCUGCCCUUGACUUUGGGAUAACUUCAGGAAACUGGGGCUAAUACCGGAUAGGAGCUCCUGCUGCAUGGUGGGGGAUGGAAAGUUUCGGCGGUUGGGGAUGGACUCGCGGCUGAUCAGCUUGUUGGUGGGGUAGUGGCUGACCAAGGCUUUGACGGGUAGCCGGCCUGAGAGGGUGACCGGCCACAUUGGGCCUGCGCUACGGCCCAGCCCCCUACCGGACGCAGCAGUGGGGAAUAUUGCACAGUGCGCUGGAGCCUGAUGCGACGCCGCCGCGUCCGGGAUGACGGCCUUCGGGUUGUAAACCGCUUUCGCCUUUGCCGAAGCGUGAGUGACGGUACUGGGUAAAGAAGCACCGGCUAACUACGUG